rnacentral:tRNA from 1 species
GGAUUUUUUAUUGGAUAGGGGUUAGCUUGAACCUAACUAGAGGGUGUUCGAUUCACUCAAGAUCCU